rnacentral:rRNA from 1 species
AACGAACGCUGGCGGCAGGCUUAACACAUGCAAGUCGAGCGAAGGCUUCGGCCUUAGCGGCGGACGGGUGAGUAACGCGUGGGAACGUGCCCUUCUCUCUGGAAUAGCCCUGGGAAACCGGGAGUAAUGCCGGAUACGCCCCUUGGGAGUAGAUCCUUUGGGGGAAAGAUUUAUCGGGGAAGGAUCGGCCCGCGUCGGAUUAGGUAGUUGGUGGGGUAACGGCCCACCAAGCCGACGAUCCGUAGCUGGUUUGAGAGGAUGAUCAGCCACACUGGGACUGAGACACGGCCCAGACUCCUACGGGAGGCAGCAGUGGGGAAUCUUGGACAAUGGGGGCAACCCUGAUCCAGCCAUGCCGCGUGAGCGAUGAAGGCCUUAGGGUUGUAAAGCUCUUUCAGCGGGGAAGAUAAUGACGGUACCCGCAGAAGAAGCCCCGGCUAACUCCGUGCCAGCAGCCGCGGUAAAAC